rnacentral:tRNA from 1 species
GCCAACGUAGCUCAGGGGCUAGAGCGGGCGUUUCAUAAGCGCUAGGUCGGUGGUCCGAGUCCACCCGUUGGCA